rnacentral:rRNA from 1 species
AAUGAACGUUGGCGGCGUGGAUUAGGCAUGCAAGUCGAAUGCGAACGUUUCCUUCGGGGAACUUGUAGCAUGGCGAAAGGGGCAGUAACGCAUAAGUAACCUACCUCCAGGUCUGGGAUAUACGGUGGAAACGCCGGGCAAUACUGGACGUUGUCGCGACUCGGCAUCGAGAUGCGAUGAAAGGUUUACUGCCUGAAGAGGGGCUUAUGUAUUAUCAGCUUGUUGGUGAGGUAAUGGCUCACCAAGGCUACGACGAUUAGGGGGUGUGAGAGCAUGGCCCCCGUCACUGGGACUGAGACACUGUCCAGACUCCUACGGGAGGCUGCAGUCGAGAAUCUUCGGCAAUGGGCGAAAGCCUGACCGAGCGACGCCGCGUGGAGGAAGAAGGCCUUCGGGUUGUAAACUUCUGUUGGAGAGGACCAAUAAAUGAGGGAAUCUCUGAGGAAGCACGGGCUAAGUUCGUGCCAGCAGCCGCGGUAAGACGAACCGUGCGAACGUUAUUCGGAAUCACUGGGCUUAAAGAGCACGUAGGCGGCAUCAUAAGUUGGAGGUGAAAUCCUGACGGCUCAACCGCAGAACUGCCCCCAAUACUG